GGUCGGUUAGCUCAGUUGGUAGAGCACUUACUUGACGUGUAAGGGGUCACAGGUUCGAGUCCUGUACCGACCA
rnacentral:tRNA from 1 species